GAAGAUCAUCACUAUAGUAACAGUACAGUAUUGUUCUAUGUUUCAUGACAUAUGUUCUACAUCUUUGACCAGAAACGGCUCAAAGUUGCUUCUAUUGAUCCAUGUGGCUCAUCUGUUGGUAAAUAUACAUCAUCAUUGAACUGCAAAAUCCAUCACAGUGAUCAUCAAUAGUUAGUUUAAUUUCAGGUUGUAAAUUUAUAUCUAAAUUCACAAUAACAUGCACAUAGAAAAAUUCCAAAGAAACUUAUUUUAGCCCAUGGAAAUUUCAGUUAAGACAUCAGAUCUUUGUGUUUCAUCUUCUUCCCAUUUUAAUUUUUAUCAGUUGAUCACUUCUGACUUUCAAAACCAUAUAUUUUUAGCCAUAAGCACCGUUAUUUUCCAAACAAGUCGAUCACCAAUAGCCUCAUCAUUUUUCAGUUCAAUCGACUACUAGCUCCGCUCCCCUUAUGAAACUUUUGUCAUUCAAGUAAAUGUUAUUGGAUGCACAAAAUUUAUCUUUUCUUAUAAGUGUUAACAUGUCAAUAAUGAAUAAGUGGUUAUUAAUUUGAAAGAUGAAAAGGAAACACACAUGUAUUUUGAAGAAGUUACAUGCGUGCUGUCCUUCAAACCAACUUCCAAUUUCUUGAAAAAAGAAAUUAUUUACGUUAUUUUACAGGUAUGUGAUAGGAAGCACAAUUCUCAAUUUAGAGCCAUAUCAAUAUCUGCAAGAGCUAAACCAUUGUAGUCGAGCUUUCUUAAUUUUGAUGUGUUUAUUUAAAAAGAUCCUUAUAAGUCAUUAUGUGAAUAUGCAACUUAGAAAGUAGAUAAUUGGGGUAAAUAUUAGGUGGCUUCGCAAGGACAUGCAGACAGACUAAAAAAAUUACAUCUGGAACAAUACCACUAAAUCCAUUCCCUCACCUCUCACCCUUCAAGGAAUUCAAAUUAGAGCCAACUGAAUGGUAAGUCAUUAUAUGUGAUUCAUUUCAAUAAAAUCAAGAAAGGAAUGAUUCUUGGAUAUUUUACAUGAAAAUCCUAACCCCAUUCAGAAAGAAGAAACUCCAAGUGCACAGACUAAAGAGAAACUAAUUGUGAGAAAAAGACAAUUUAAAAAAAAUAUUAAUCCACUUGUCCAUACGCAACAUACUUUCUCAGACACGAUUCCGAUACUUUAGUUCUAUAUCUAGCAUUUAGAUGAGGAUAGGUAGUCAUACCUUUACAAUAUUGUGAUCCUUGCUUGAUAUGUUAACAGGUAAAAAGUGGAGAUUUGGCAUUUUCAAUUGGACUGAAGAUAUGUCAGGAAACCUACCAAAUUUUAAGAGGAUAACAAUAUCAGAA
rnacentral:lncRNA from 1 species